UUCUCAAUUUAUCUGGGACGAGACGAC
rnacentral:sRNA from 1 species